rnacentral:rRNA from 1 species
ACGGAAGGCAGCAGUGGGGAAUAUUGGACAAUGGGGGAAACCCUGAUCCAGCGACGCCGCGUGAGUGAAGAAGUAUUUCGGUAUGUAAAGCUCUAUCAGCAGGGAGAUAAUGACGGUACCUGACUAAGAAGCCCCGGCUAACUACGUGCCAGCAGCCGCGGUAAUACGUAGGGGGCAAGCGUUAUCCCGAUUUACUGGGUGUAAAGGGAGCGUAGACGGCAUGGCAAGUCUGAUGUGAAAACCCGAGGCUCAACCUCAGGACUGCAUUGGAAACUUUCAGGCUUGAGUGCAGGAGAGGUAAGUGGAAUUCCUAGUGUAGCGGUGAAAUGCGUAGAUAUUAGGAGGAACACCAGUGGCGAAGGCGGCUUACUGGACUGUAACUGACGUUGAGGCUCGAAAGCGUGGGGAGCAAACAGGAUUAGAUACCCUGGUA